rnacentral:rRNA from 1 species
AAACUUAAAUGAAUUGAGGGGCCCGCACAAGCGGUGGAGCAUGUGGUUUAAUUCGUUGCUACACGAAGAACCUUACCUGGGUUUGACAUAUAGGUUGUAGGGAACUGAAAGGGACCGACCCUUCGGGGAGCCUAUACAGGUGUUGCAUGGCUGUCGUCAGCUCGUGUCGUGAGAUGUUCGGUUAAGUCCGCUAACGAGCGCAACCCUCGUCGUAUGUUAUAUGUGUCAUACGAGACUGCCGGUAAAAGCCGGAGGAAGGUGAGGAUGAUGUCAAGUCAGCAUGACCUUUAUAUCCAGGGCUACACACACGCUACAAUGGUCUGUACAAUGGGUAGCCAAGCCGCGAGGCGGAGCCAAUCCUGAAAGCAGGCCUCAGUUCAGAUUGCAGUCUGCAACUCGACUGCAUGAAGCCGGAGUUGCUAGUAACCGCAGGUCAGCAAUACUGCGGUGAAUACGUUCCCGGGUCUU